CUACGGACUUGAUUGUAUUGAGCCUUGGUAUGGAAACCUGCUAAGUGGUAACUUCCAAAUUCAGAGAAACCCUGGAAUUAAAAAAGGGCAAUCCUGAGCCAAAUCCGUGUUUUGAGAAAACAAGGGGUUCUCGAACUAGAAUACAAAGGAAAAGAAUAGGUGCAGAGACUCAAUGGAAGCUGUUCUAACGAAUCGAGUUAAUUACGUUGUGUUGUUAGUGGAAUUCUUUCUAAUUCUAAAUUAGAGAAAAGGAG
rnacentral:ncRNA from 1 species